AGCUCGUGUCGUGAGAUGUUGGGUUAAGUCCGUAACGAGCGCAACCCUUGUCCUUAGUUACCAGCACGUUAUGUGGGCAUUCUAAGGAGACUGCCGGUGGACAAACCGGAGGAAGGUGGGGAUGACGUCAAGUCAUCAUGGCCCUUACGGCCUGGGCUACACACGUGCUACAAUGGUCGGUACAAAGGGUUGCCAAGCCGCGAGGUGGAGCUAAUCCCAUAAAACCGAUCGUAGUCCGGAUCGCAGUCUGCAACUCGACUGCGUGAAGUCGGAAUCGCUAGUAAUCGUGAAUCAGAAUGUCACGGUGAAUACGUUCCCGGGCCUU
rnacentral:rRNA from 1 species